UUCUUGCCCCACCCACUUCUUAAUUGAUGAACUCAAUAAUCUCUGACUGUCUCAUAUAUGUCUUAAAUUCCCAGAGAACAAUAAAAUCAACGCUAGUCAGGGAAUUAUAUAUCCAAAUAUUUUUGUUAAUUUCUUUUCUUAAAAAGAAAAAAGUCAUGUGUUCUUCCAGAUUUUCUUUCUCCCUUGUGCUAUUUUUUUCCUCGGAGUUAAUAAAUGAGCCUAAAUGCUGAUGCUAAAAUCCUCUGUGGGGUGUGGUAGUGCAUCUGCAAUAUCAGCACCCAGGAGGCAGAAGGACCCCAAGCUGAAGACCAGUUUAGAUUAUUUGUUGAGAUCCCGUCUCUACAAUAAAAAAGCAAUGAAAGAAUAUCCUUUUUUGCUUUUUGGCCCACUUUAUUUUCAAAUACUUACAGUUCCUCCAAAUGCUAAUUGUAUACGACUAUAGUCAGUCUGUAAAGUUAACUCAGAGGUAAAGUUAGACCUCAGGAUUAAACAUUAUCGUCCUUUCCCCUUGAAAUUUUUGGCAGGUAUGUGUGUUUGCACCCUAAUUUUAUGUGAUAGUUCUGUUUUGUGAGCAAGAAGGUAAGUAUGUGUAGUUGGUAUAAAAAAGUUAUAUUUCAUUAUGCCGAGGGUCAUCACACAAGAAUCACACUCUUAAAUUUCUUACUACAAUCCUAAGCCUAUCUCCCUAAGGUUGCUCGCCUGUUCAACGUAUCAUUGAAGAUCAGUGAAGUCUCUAACAAAAGUCUCUGAUUAGAGGGUCAGGAUCCUGGGGGAGACUCACCAGCCGCAGGGUAGAUGAAGGUAGCGUCUCUCCAGGUGCACAGAGGACGAACAAGCUCCUGGUCUCCACUUAUAUAGUGGCUAGAGCGUCAUAGGAUUCUAGGACUGUGUCUGGUUAUCUUGAGUGAGUGAUGUCACUGGGUUCUGGUUAUCAGAUACAGCCUCGGGUGUAGUGGAGUUCCUGACUAAGCUGUUUUUACACGUCUAAAAGGCAUUUUUUAAAACUAUGAUCAUUCUCAUUGCAUUUUGUAUAACUUGUAUCUUUAGAGUCAGAUAGUAAAUAGUGAAGCAUAUUUCACACUUUCUUGCCCUGUGUUUUAGGGCAAAUGAUGAUGCAGCCCUGAUUUUUUAUUUCUGUGUGUAAACACAUGUGUGCAGGAGUGCUUGCCUGUGCGUGUUGAGGCUAAAGGUCAGCUUCACUUUAGGUCUCUUCCUCUAUUUCUGUUCACCUUAUAUUUUGAGGCAGGGUCACUCAGUGAACUUGGAGUAUUCUAUAUGGGCUAUACUGCCUUGUCAGGGAGUUCCUGGGAUCUGCCUUUCCCUACCAAUAGUCCCCCUUAAAACACUGGGGUUACAGAUACAAGGCCCAUGUUUAUAUAGGUUUAUAUAGGUUCUAGGGAACUAAACUUAGGUCAUCAUUCUUGAGCAGCAGACACUUCCCAGCCAGACCCUCAUUUUUUAAAUGUUUUCUGUAUUUUAGAUGUUACAUUAAAUACUUUUUUUCUUAACAAAAUUGUACACCAUAAUCAACCAACAAAUACCUGUUCCAGUUAUCAAUGAUAUCUAUUUGUGCUCAUAUGAGUGAAGGCUUUUUUAGAUCUUAGUUUCAUUGCUUUUAUAUCUGUGUAGGUGUAUAUAUCUGCAUGCGGGUACGUGAUAUGAAUUCAGAGUUCAGAGGCAUUGGAUCUCUUGGAGCUGGAAUUAUAGACUGUUCUGAGACAUCUGACAUGGAUGCUGGGAACCUAACUUGUGUCCUCCAGAAGAGCAGCAAGUGGUCUUAAUUGCUGAAUCAUCUUUCCAGCCACAAUGGUGAAGUUUCUAGAACAGUUUAGAACUCUAUUUCUCAGGCAAAUCAGAAGCAUCAGCAUCACCUGUCAGAACACUUCAAAGAACUCACUGUACCAGGCCCAUGCAUCCCUAUGACACACCAAUCCAUUUAUGACCUUUUUUGUAGCCUUAUCUGAAUCCUAUGGAAGAAGAGAGGGAAGCACAAAAAGGGCAAAGGAACAAUCCAGAAUACGGCUCUCCAGCUUGUACAGCUACUACCCAGGGAGAGGUUUGCCAGAUCCAUUUUACAGAUUAAGAACCAGAGGCAAGCAAAGUAUCUCAGAAGGAAUUGAAAAAUGAGUGGGGAAAAACAUCAAAAUCAAAACGUCCUAUGAAUGAAGAUUUUAGUCCCUUCAGACAAGGUAAUACAACUAAAGAAGAGGCCUAUAUGGUUAUUUUAGAAAAGGAAGAAUCCUGUUUUCUUUACUUCUGCUAACUAUGUGCAGGUCUCUGGAAUAAUCUUAUUCUAAGAGAUGCAGUUGUGGAUCCAUCCACUAGAGGGCUGACUAUUUAGGAACCAUGAAGGAACUAAAAAGCAAAGAAUUGGUAAUCAGAAAAAUCUACGUAAGAGCCAUCCCUGUCUUUCCCAGAAAGAAAUGUGAAAUCAUGCAGUUUGUGUGGUCACUGGAAGUCAUAUGGUAGGGGUGCUCCAGGAGCAACUGAGGUGUGUGUUGAGUGUUAGGAAGAACAAAGACUCCUUGUAAUAGUAUGUCUCAGGUGGGCUAGAGUCAGAAUUUGUAUGUGCAUCUGUCUGUGUGUGUGUUAUUGUGGAUCAAACCCAAGAUUUAUGUUUAUGCUAGGCAAGCACUCUGCCACUGAGCUACAUCCACUGCCCUCUGGAGUCAAGAUUUUUAACAGUGGGUUCCAGUAAUUUGUUUUCUGUCCUCCAAAAGUAAUUAUGUGCUUGGCCUUUUGGUUUUGAAGCCUCUGAAUUAGGUAGAAAACAAGGAGUCAAAGCUUGAGACAUUAUGUCUCUAAAGAUUAAGCAACUAGCAGCAAGGCCUUCAGCUUUGCCAUAAUUGGAGCUUGUUUUUCUCUGGGUAGCCCAGGCACCUCUGUUGUCAUGACAACUUACCUAGCACCUAUUGUCUGGACAAUUGAGGGAAAACUGCUUCUGUUGUCAUGACAACUUCCUCUUCUAUCUCCCCUUGGUGAUCUCUCUGCUAUGGAAGAAAUGGGGCUAAAAAACAAGAGAGAGGCGGAACACCACCUCAAGCCUAAGAACUGCGAAGUGCCUGAUGAAGAUCAGGAUAAAUUCCACCAGUCAG